UAACGCGUGAGCAACCUGCCUAUGACAGUGGGAUAGCCUCGGGAAACCGGGAUUAAUACCGCAUAAAAUCGUAGAAACACAUGUUUCAACGGUCAAAGAUUUAUCGGUCAUAGAUGGGCUCGCGUCUGAUUAGCUAGUUGGUGAGAUAACAGCCCACCAAGGCGACGAUCAGUAGCCGGUCUGAUAGGAUGAACGGCCACAUUGGAACUGAGACACGGUCCAG
rnacentral:rRNA from 1 species